rnacentral:rRNA from 1 species
UGCAGUCUACGAGAAGAGGUAGCAAUAUCUCGAGUAAAGUGGCGCAAGGGUGAGUAAUAUGUAAGUAAUCUGCCCAUGGGUUUGGAAUAACUCGUCGAAAGAUGGGCUAAUACCAAAUAAUGCAGCGGCACCGCAUGGUGAUGUUGUUAAAGCCUAUAUGGCGCCUAUGGAUGAGCUUGCAACAGAUUAGCUAGUUGGUAGGGUAAUAGCCUACCAAGGCUACGAUCUGUAGCUGGUCUGAGAGGAUGAUCAGCCACACUGGAACUGAGACACGGUCCAGACUCCUACGGGAGGCAGCAGUGAGGAAUAUUGGGCAAUGCCCGCAAGGGUGACCCAGCAACGCCGCGUGGAGGAUGAAUGCCGUAAGGUUGUAAACUCCUUUUGAAGAGGACGAACAGCACUGAUCGACUCAGUGUUUGACUGUACUCUUAGAAGAAGCCCCGGCUAACUACGUGCCAGCAGCCGCGGUAAUACGUAGGGGGCAAGCGUUGUCCGGAUUUACUGGGUGUAAAGGGCGCGUAGGUGGGUUUGUAAGUCAGAGGUGAAAUCCUGCAGCUUUAACUGUAGAAACUGCCUCUGAUACUGCAAUCUUUGAGUUCAGAAGAGAGAAGCGGGAAUUCUCAGGUGUAGUAGUGAAAUACGUAAAAUAUCUUGGAAGAACAUCAGUGGCCGAAGGCGGCUUCUUGGUCUGUAACUGACACUUGACGCGCGAAAGUCGUGGGGAGCAAAC